GCUAAAUCCCCAACCCCUGAAAUUAUAUCUUUUUUUUUUUUGAAAUUAUAUCUUUAAGAAAGGGAUUCUGGGUCCUGGGGCCAUGUGGGCACAGUUGCAAAAUAUUCACAGCAAGGUGUGUUUUCUGUCAGAUACUCAUCGGCUAAUGAUGAAGUUCUGUUCCUUAUGCCAUGUCCCUGUAACCCCAUUGUUUCUGAAGAUGUUGUCAAUCAAAAACGCAUGUAAUAGGCCUAACUCACAAAACCAACAUCAAACUCAGCCAUACAGCUCACAGUAGCGUCAAUCGUUUCUUCUGGUCCUCAUGUGAUGGACAAAGGUGUGAGUCACCACUGUUAGAACUCUCACACAGAAGUCUACUCUCCUGGGGGACCGGGAGAAAUUUGAAGUAUGAUUUUUUUUUAUUGUACACGUGUGUCUCUUUUGUACCUUCAAAACACAAAAGAGACUUAAAUCAUCACACUCAGUACUACCUGCCCUACACACAGAGGAUGCAUGGGUUGCAAGUGUGACUCACUCUUCCCAUGAUUACCUGAAGCAAGAAAACAGAAACACUACUACUUCUCGAGUUCACGUCAUGAGAAGUGUUGGUACAGCCAAGCUCCUUAACAACUGCUUUUAUUUCUUCCUUCCUUUCAAAAAAAUCUGUUCUAUUUUAAAAUUAAGAAUCCAAAUAAAAAAGAAUCAAAGCCCAGAGAGAAAAAAGGAAGCUCACAUAUGUCUUAUGCCUAACAUGCCAGUGUGAUUAAAGUUAACAUUUUGGCCUGGAUCCUCCCAGUUUUGGAUGUGUGUUGGGGUGGGUGUUAUAAGCUAGUGGGUUAUCAUUGCUAUGUGAAACUGUGUGCUGCCCUCUUGUCUGUCUCCUAAAUAUUAAUCUACGCCACAAGCUGCCUUUAUCAUUAUCAAUUUUGAAGGUGGAAUAACAUUUGGUGACGUUAAAUAAUGCGCAAUUAUUUUUUAUUAUUUAUUUUAUAAGAUCUUAUGUAUUUGGGGCUGGGGUUAAACUCUCUAUAUAGUUGAAGUGGGCUUGAACUUUUGAUCUUCCUGUGUUUACCUCCCUAGGGCUGGUGGUAAAGGCAUGUACUAAUAUGCCCGGUUUAUAUGGCUCUAGACUUCAAACCAAGAGUUUCAUAUAUGCUAGGCAAAGCGUUCUACCAACAGGCUACACCCCUGUCCCCUGUAGCAUAAUUUAGUUCAUUUUAUUUAUUUAAUUAUUUAUUAUUAGCACUGAAGUUUAUAAUUCUCAGGUCAAAAGGCAUGACUUGUGUCACAUGUGACUCCCGCUCUCUAUUAUUUCCUGCAAGGUCAGCACAUCCCCAAGUGGUGCUUCCCUGGGAUGCAGGAAAGGGUCCCUGUUAUUGAUCUUGGAAGCACAGUGAGGGGAUUCCCAGGAGUGAGGACCCAUUUCUUCCCUUUGCUCUCUGCCUUCUAAGCCAUGUUCCCACCCUGCGGUCUAAGGAACCCUACAGCAGCACCCAGCUUCCCCUGAGAGCUUUGCGGAUGCCAAGGUAUCCAGAAAAUUUUCAUCUUGGAACCUGUCCAAGCCAUUUGCUAUUUUACCCUCUAUUUGUUUUUCUUAAGCAGCUAACUAAAUAAGAAUACCAUCUCAACCUUGCUCCACUCCCUGCGGCAUUUUCCCUGCCUGCACACCCUCCCUGCCUACAAUUUAACCACGGGGUAGCUUCUUAUAUUUGAAAGCUAAAUACAAAAGCGCAGCUCUGGAGACCCAGCCAAGUUCUGCAGCCAAGUUUGAAGAAUAAAACUUUAAAACAGCUCUUCUGUCACAUACUUGAGAGGGGAGGCAGGCUUUGCUAUAAAUAAAGACACAUUCCAUUUCUAUCUCGUCCUUUGCAGCCCUCUUGGGUAAGGCUCUCUGUGUAUGACUACAGUGUUCUCUUGCUGCCCACUCUCCCUCUCAACUUUCUGUUUUAUGCCUUGUCUUGUUUCCAGGCUCAGUAGUCUUAGGGUUUAGGGACCUUGUGUGACAGAGGAGAAGAUGGUCCCUGUCCUCAGGGUUGGGUGUAAUAAGAUCCAGGGAUUGAUUAAGAAGCCAUGCUUUCUCUUCAUCCCUAACAUUUUCUGGCAGCUACAUCUUGUAUCAGUUUCUGCUGGCUGCUGUGACAACUACUUCCAAUGGAUUGGCUUAAAACAAAGCAAAAAAAAGUCUUGGGGCAUCAGAGGUCUGAAAGGAUUUAUCAGUGCUGGGUACUCUCUUCAGGCUCUAGGGAAAGUUGAACUCCCUUUUCUAUGCCUCUCUGGCACGCAGCCCUAUAUCAUUCCAUCCUGCAUGCAUCACCGGACCCCCUACCCUCAUGUUUCUAUGUUUCUCAUCUAGAAACUCUGCUAACCACAAGGAACUCCAUCCAGUUAAAGCAGCAUCAUCUCUCCACUUCAAAGUCCUUAACCCAGCCUCACCUACAAAGCCCCCAUUGCCUGUAUAGUGACACAUUCAUUCACAGCUUGGAGGGCAUAUGGAUACGAGAGCCUGAAUGAGCAUGGGUGUCUUUGGAGGGACUGUGUUCUCCUUACUACUCGUCUGUCUAGGAAGAAGACAAGGAAAACUUUUCUGGAAUUUUCCCUCCUUGUUUUACAGCUAUGGAUGGGGAUGUUGAUAGUAGGGUUUUCCUUCCCUUUCCGUCCUUCAUGAGGGACACGGAGCGGACAAAGCCAUUGUAUUCUUCCCAUUUGUUUUAGCUGGGAACCAUAGCAGGGCAGAGAAGUACAUUUCAGACAGUAGGGAGGAUAAGAGGGAUAUUAAAGGCCUCAGCUAUAGUUGGAGCCCAUAGUAGGCUUUUCUCAAGGCACAGAUAUGUCUGUGCCAUGGAGGCGUAACCUCCAUGCUGAUGAUGUAGUCCCAACCAAUAAGGAACACCCUACUUAUAUCCAGUAUGACUUCCUCACAACUCCACUUGUCCCCAGCUAUUCUAUUUUUUAAAAAUCUAUAACAUCAAGGCAUAUAAAUAUGUAUUUUUUGAGAUAGGGUCUUGGGUAACCUAGGUUGGCUUUGAACUAGAUAUGUAGCCAAAGAUAGACCUUGAACUUCUGAUCCUCCCCUGUUUCCACCUCUCAAGUGUUUGGAAUACAGGCAGGUGACACCCACCAUACCCAGUAUACAUGGUGCUAGGGAACCAACCCAGGGUUUUGUGCAUGCUAAGCAAGCAGUACCAGAGGGUGCAAAAGGUAUACUGAAACUUCUGAGGGAGAGUAGGACCCUGAGUGUUAACAUGACUCAAGGAAGUUGAGGCAUCUCAAAGACCUACCCAAGAAAACCUAUGAUGAGACUCGUUAUGUAGUGAGUGGGUAGUAAAUAUUCUGCUGAGGAGGGUUCAGUGAUGGAAGAAACAACGUUAGGGCUGUUGUCACAUGUCACCAAUCUGUCCCCAUGCUGGUUUUGUAUCCCUCAAGUUUAGAUUGGUGUUUACACCUUGAAGUGAUUUGGGGGGAUCAAAACAGAAGCAAUACUUUAUGCUAUGUGAAAAUAAUUUAAGUGUCAGUGUUCACAUUUUGAGUUUUUCCACAACCCAGUCAUAACAUUUGUUUAUGAAUUAUCUAUGGGCUUUUUGAGCUUCCCCCUAGGAGUGAAGUGGUUGUGACAGGCAUGAUCUGAGCAAUCAUCAAAGCCUAAAAUAUUUACUAAGUUGCCUUUUGCAGAGUUAGGGGCUUUGGAAGGGGCUGGAAAAGCUUCCACGGACGUCCUUGUUGGGACAAUCCUUUCAAAGGUUGGUAGCCUCAGCACUGCCCCGCCAUGCCAGCACAGCACCAGACACUCAUAGAUGGUCAGCUGGAAAGAGUGUAUGCAUUGCAUUUAGAGCCUGCCUUGUGGUCAUGUGUAUAAACGAUGUCUGCAUUAACUUCCUGGAAUUCUGUGUCCCUGCCAGGUAAUGUUAUUUAUCCUUGUGCAUUAUUGAGAAGACAUAGAAACGAGCAUAGAGGGUCAUUGGGAGUGUUGGGCUGUGUGUUCUGAAAUAUCCCAGGGAGACAUGCUACCUGCUGCUUCUAUUCAGAGGCAGUGUCCGAGUGGUUCACAUCAGGAUCCAUGCUGUACCAGCCAUUGGGCCAGGACGUUGGGCACAGGGAUUGCCCACAGCUCAGAGCUCUGUUGCAUAUCGGUUUGAGUUUGAGGAAAGGAGCUGAGGGUGGAUCGACAGUGCCUAGGCUGCACCACGUGUUAGAAGUAGUGCUGGGGCUCAGUCUGUCUUCUCAUAGCAGGCUGUGAGCUUGAGACCUGGAGGGUAGAAGAUAGCCAUCUGGGGAACAGCUAGACUCCAUUCUUUUCUCAGACACAGCAGGGCGUCACCACCUUGUAAACAAGAUGCUGUAGUCUCUGUGUUACCCUGUCUGGUGACAAUACUGAGGUCUGUUAGUUCCUUCUAGUGCUUCAUAUCUUUCAGAGAGCUUCCUUCCCUCCCUCCCACCCCUUAUCCAUGGGUCCAGCCAACUUCAGAACAAAAAUAUUCAGGGAAAUAGUGAAUUUUUUUUAUAUGGCAUUUACACUGUAUCAGAUAUUAUAAGCAAUCUAGAGAUGAUUUAAAGUAUAUGGUAGGAUGUGUGUAGGUUAUAUGCAAACAUAAUCCCAUUUUACAUAACAGACUUGAGCCUCCAAAAUUUUUAUACUUGAAAGGGGCCAGGAAAAAAAUCCCUUCUGGUUACCAAGGGACAACAGUCCUGUAUCCAAGAAAGUGCUGUGGAACACAGAGGGGAGAUGUCAUCUUAUUCUGCCUGGGAAACAGCCGAGUGUCAGAAAGACGGUGAGUCUUGCUGGAGUCUUCAGGCUUUAGUAACGCAGUUAGGCUUCCUGAUCUAGGUUUCUGUGGUUUGAUUAUCCCCCACCACAGAACCAUGCCACUGAAACUCCCUUUGCAGUGAACUCAGCUUAAGGCAUAAGCCAGUUAAAUGGCUCCUUGGUGGUAGUCAUUAGCAACUUGCAAGACCAA
rnacentral:sRNA from 1 species